CUGCGAUAGUUAUCGGGCAAAGAAUAUGGUAUUGCAAACUGGGAUUUUUUCUUAUAACUUAUAUAUCUUAUCAGUAAUUUUCUGCCGUCUAAGAAUAUGUCUAAGAGGACUUCAUGCACAUUCCACUCUACCAAACAGAUCUAAAUGACUAAAAUAUAUUGAUAGUAUAGAAUUCCCACAUAUAAUGCGUCAUAUAGAUUAUAGCUAGACAAUUUAGUUUUGAAGUAAAGACCCCUUGGCCUUGUACACCAUCGCAUUGGCCAAUCAUACAACACCAAGUGUCUCGAACUGUCGCAUGAGGGGGUAUGGAAAUACGUAUUUUCUUUAAAAGGUACGAGGGAGUCGUGCGGUUUGUACAAAGGGCCGUGGGUUCAUUGUGGAUCGUAAUCGCCAUAGUUAAUCACCGAGCAAUUAAAUCGUGAAGUGCAUUUCUAUAAACAUAUCGCUCACACUACCGAAUGAGCACAGUUGCAACAACACUGUCCACUAGUGAAGAGCUCAAGCCGGAACACCUUACAGGAACUUAGAAGAGAUUUGCUGGCACCAUCCUGAUAUAUAUCACAGAAAAAUAUGGCUGGGAAAUUUUUACAAAUUUGGUCACUGAGAAGUGUCGCAAAGACCAUGGCUAUGUUAGUCAUUGUAAGUAUAUAUAGCAUUUAUAGCAGUUGACUAGGUCUAUAUCACAUUGAAUUUUGUGCCUGAUUUUUUACCGAUUAUUUAUUUCAUGGCUUUUUCAUGUGGAAAGCAU